rnacentral:rRNA from 1 species
UACGGAGGGUGCAAGCGUUAAUCGGAAUUACUGGGCGUAAAGCGUGCGCAGGCGGUUUGUUAAGUCUGUUGUGAAAUCCCCGAGCUCAACUUGGGAAUUGCAAUGGAUACUAGUAGGCUGGAGUAUGGUAGAGGAAGGUGGAAUUCCCGGUGUAGCAGUGAAAUGCGUAGAGAUCGGGAGGAACACCAGUGGCGAAGGCGGCCUUCUGGACCAAUACUGACGCUCAUGCACGAAAGCGUGGGGAGCAAACAGG